UACGGAGGGGGCUAGCGUUGUUCGGAAUUACUGGGCGUAAAGCGCGCGUAGGCGGAUUUGCCAGUCAGGGGUGAAAUCCCGGGGCUCAACCUCGGAACUGCCUUUGAUACAGCAAGUCUUGAGUUCGAGAGAGGUGGGUGGAAUUCCUAGUGUAGAGGUGAAAUUCGUAGAUAUUAGGAAGAACACCGGUGGCGAAGGCGGCCCACUGGCUCGACACUGACGCUGAGGUGCGAAAGCGUGGGGAGCAAACAGG
rnacentral:rRNA from 1 species